AUUGAACGCUGGCGGCAGGCUUAACACAUGCAAGUCGAACGAGUGGCGGACGGGUGAGUAAUGCUUGGGAAUCUGGCUUAUGGAGGGGGAUAACGACGGGAAACUGUCGCUAAUACCGCGUACCAUAGGAUGAGCCCAAGUGGGAUUAGGUAGGUGGUGGGGUAAUGGCCUAACAAGCCGACGAUCGCUAGCUGGUCUGAGAGGAUGACCAGGCAAAUUGGGACUGGGAAACGGGCCAGGCUCCUACGGGGGGCAACAGGGGGGGAGCUUCCGCAAUGGACGGAAGUCUGACGGGGCAACGCCGCGGGAGGGAUGACGGCCUUCGGGUUGUAAAGCUCGUUAAUCGGGAAGACGGUACCGGAAUAGAAAGCCACGGCUAACUACGUGCCAGCAGCCGCGGUAAUUC
rnacentral:rRNA from 1 species